UGAUCUCAGAUCAGAUGUGGCAACCAGCUGAAUUUAAGCAGAUUACUAAGCAGAGGAAAUGAAACUAACCAGGAUUCUCUCAGUAACAGCAAGUGAAGAGGUAAGAGCCCAGUGCCGAAUCCCCACCCGGGUGAUGGGCGUAGAGAAAUGUGGUGUAUGGAAGUCCAUCUCCCAGGCACCACCCAGGGGGCCCAAGGCCUUGUGAUCGAGGCUUAGCCCGCAGACAGUGUGAGGCCCGUGGUGGCCCUCGGCACAUCUGGAUAAAGGCUUCCCCGAGUUGGGUUGUUUGUGAAUGCAGCCCAAAGUGGGUAGUAAACUCCAUCUAAGGCUAAACACCAGCACGAGACUGAUAGCUGACAAGUACCAUAAGGGAAAGUUGAAAAGAACUUUGAAGAGUUCAAGAGGGUGUGAAACCAUUCAGAGGUAAAUGGGUGGGGUCCAUGUGGUCUGCACGGAGGAUUCAACACGGCAGCUGCGCUGGCCGCCCGGGUGAGGUGGAUCCACCUCUUGCUCUUGGGGGAUGGGGGACCAUCCCCGGAUGUGUCGGCUGCCGUCGGGUGAACUUCCUCCAUGGCAGUGCACCACAAUUGGCUCCAGAUCAGCCAGGAAGGCCACGCAGAAGGGGGUCCCUCCCAGGAGGGGAGUGUUACAGCCCACGGCAUCAGCACUCGCCAUGCCCUGGGGUCAUGGGAGAUGAUCGCUGCUGCACCCCAACCCUCCCCUCACGGUGGGAACUGGGGGCCCCCAGCUUCCAGCAGGACUGGGUCAGACUGCCCUCAGUGUGGCCAGACCACGUCCCACUGCUGGGCCGGUGGGCUCAACUUGGGUGCCCGGGGUCUGCGAUGAUGUCGGUGACCCACCCGUCCCAUCUUGAAACACGGACCAAGGAGUCUAACAGGUGCGCGAGUCUGAGGGUGGGAAGGAGACCCCAUGGCGCAAUGAAAGUGAGGGCUGGCAUGCACCAGCUGAGGUAGGAUCCUCCUGCCUCAUGCGGGGGGCGCACUGCUGGCCCAUCUCACCCAUCCCGUAGGGGAGGUGGAGCAUGAGCGCACCUGGUGGGACCUGAAAGAUGGUGAACUAUGCCUGGGCAGAACGAAGUCAGAGGAAACUUUGGUGGAGGUCCAUAGUGGUCCUGACAUGCAAAUCAGUCGUCCAACCUGGGUAUAGGGGCAAAAGACUAAUUGAACCAUCUAGUAGCUGGUUCCCUCAGAAGUUUCCCUCAGGAUAGCUGGCACUUGGGGGGAAGCAGUUUUAUCUGGUAAAGCGAAAGAUUAGAGGUCUUGGGGCCAAAAUGAUCUCAACUUAUUCUCAAACUUUAAAUGGGUAAGAAGCCCAACUCACUGGCUUGGAGCCGGGUGUGGAAUGCGAGCACCCAGUGGGCCACUUAUGGUAAGCUGAACUGGCGCUGCAGGAUGAACCAAACGCCGUGUUAAGGCACCUGAUACUGUCGCUCAUCAGACCCCAGAAAAGGUGUUGGUUAAUAUAGACAGCAGGACGGUGGCCAUGAAAGUCAGUAUCCGCUAAGGUGUGUGUAACAACUCACCUGCUGAAUCAACUAGCCCUAAAUAUGGAUGGAGCUUGGGCAUUGGGCCCAUACCCGGCCAUCACCAGUGCUGGGAGCCAAAGGGGCUAUGCCAUGACAAGUAGGAGGGCCGUCACAGUGGAGCUGCAGCCCAGGGGGAGGGCCCAGGUGUAGCCACCAGGGGGUGCAGAUCUUGGUGGUAGUAGCAAAUAUUCAAACAAGAGCUUUGAAGGCCAAAGUGGAGAAGGGUUCCAAGUGAACAGCAGUUGAACAUGGGUCAAUCGGUCCUGAGAGAUAGGUGAGCUUCAUUAUGAAGGGUUGGGUGAUCACCUCCGUCGCCCUCGGCCGAACGAAAGGGAGUCGGGUUCAGAUCUCGGAAUCCAGAGCAGCGGAGAUGGAUGCCUCAUGGCAUCCAGUGCGGUGAUGCAAACGAUCCUGGAGAAACCAGCAGAGGCCCCUGGGAAAGUUCUCUUUUCUUUGUAAAGGGCAGGGUGCCCUGGAAUGGGUUCACCCCGAGAGAGGGGCCCACGCCCUGGAAAGCAUUGCGGUUCCGGUGGAGUCAGGUGAGCUCUCACCAGCCCUUGAAAAUCUGGGGGAGAGAGUGUAAGUCCUGUGCUGGGCCGUACCCAUAUCCACAGCAGGUCUCCAAAGUGAACAGCCUCUGGCAUGUUAGAACAAUGUAGGUAAGGGAAGUCGGCAAGCCACAUCAGUGACUUCGGGAUAAGGAUUGGCUCUAAGGGCUGGGUUGGUCGGGCUCGGGUGUGAAGUGGGGCUGCCACGGUUGGACAAGGCAUCACCCCUUUGCCGCACCCCCCUUGGAGGGCUGGCAGUGGCAACUCUGGAAUGUGCCGGGCCCUUCCUGUGGAUCGCCCCGGAUGUGGUGGGCACUGGUCCCAACCGGCGUCUCGCAGCUAGCAGUUGACUUAGAACUGGUGCAGAUCAGGGGGUCUGACUGUUUAAUUUAAACAAAGCAUCACA